UCCAUCAGGCAGCAAAACAAAGACUGGA
rnacentral:piRNA from 1 species